CACGAACCGUACUAACGUUACUCGGAAUUACUGGGCUUAAAGGGUGCGUAGGCGGCUUGUUAAGUUGGGUGUGAAAGCCCUCGGCUUAACCGAGGAAUUGCGCUCAAAACUGGCGAGCUUGAGGGAGACAGAGGUGAGCGGAACUUAGGGUGGAGCGGUGAAAUGCGUUGAUAUCCUAAGGAACACCAGUGGCGAAAGCGGCUCACUGGGUCUCUUCUGACGCUGAGGCACGAAAGCUGGGGGAGCGAAC
rnacentral:rRNA from 1 species